rnacentral:rRNA from 1 species
AUACGUAGGGUGCAAACGUUGUCCGGAAUUACUGGGGUGUAAAGGGUGCACAGGCGGCUUUUUGCGUCAGAGGUAAAAUGCCACUGCUCAACAGUGGAUCUGCCUUUGAUACGGGGAGGCUUGAAUGCAAGAGAGGAUGAUAGAAUUCCUGGUGUAGCGGUGAAAUGCGUAGAUAUCAGGAGGAAUACCAGUGGCGAAGGCGGCUGCCUGGACCGAUAUUGACGCUGAGACGCGAAAGCGUGGGUAGC